CAGGCUCUGAGUGAGGAGUUAAGCAGAAAAGCUGCCUCGUUAGUGCUGGAAAAUGAAAAUCUAAAGAGAAAGAAGGAGCUGGCUUUGAAAGAGUAUCGGUCUUUAGAGACUACAAAUAAGAUUUUAAAAGCACAAUGAGAGUUGUUUGGCAGAGUGGCUGCGGCAAACAGGCUAUAUGUUUGAAGAGAAAAUGCAGUGUCACUAGAAGUGAGGAUUGAUGUGGAAGCUUUUUAAAUCUCAGAAAGAAGGGAUUGUGUACACUUUGAAAGAACCCAUGCAUCUAACACUAAAGAUAGGCCUAGCAAAUAAUCUUGUCCCAAGGAAUGAUUAAAUGAAUUGAAGGAAAUGGGAGAAAAGGAUUAUGAAGCUUAUGAAAUAUAACUCUUGUUUUAUAGUGAUUGUGCUUGCUUGGUUGUGUUUGUGUUGGUGCUAUUAAAUUAAAACUGGUU